GACGAACGCUGGCGGCGUGCCUAAUACAUGCAAGUAGAACGCACGGUUUAUACCGUAGCUUGCUACACCAUAGACUGUGAGUUGCGAACGGGUGAGUAACGCGUAGGUAACCUGCCUGGUAGCGGGGGAUAACUAUUGGAAACGAUAGCUAAUACCGCAUAAUAUUAAUUAUUGCAUGAUAAUUAAUUGAAAGGUGCAAUUGCACCACUACCAGAUGGACCUGCGUUGUAUUAGCUAGUAGGUGAGGUAACGGCUCACCUAGGCGACGAUACAUAGCCGACCGGAGAGGGUGAUCGGCCACACUGGGACUGAGACACGGCCCAGACUCCUACGGGAGGCAGCAGUAGGGAAUCUUCGGCAAUGGACGAAAGUCUGACCGAGCAACGCCGCGUGAGUGAAGAAGGUUUUCGGAUCGUAAAGCUCUGUUGUAAGAGAAGAACGGGUGUGAGAGUGGAAAGUUCACACUGUGACGGUAUCUUACCAGAAAGGGACGGCUAACUACGUG
rnacentral:rRNA from 1 species